GGGAAUGGCUCAGUGGUAGAGCGUCGCCUUGCCAAGGCGAAUGUCGCGAGUUCGAAUCUCGUUUCCC
rnacentral:tRNA from 2 species